AUGGCCUGGGCUCUGCUCCUUGUCACCCUCCUCACUCAGGGCACAGGGUCCUGGGCCCAGUCUGGCCUGACUCAGCCUCCCUCAGUGUCCGGGAAUCCGGGACAGACGGUCACCAUCUCCUGUGCUGGAACCAGCAGUGACAUAGGGAAAUAUAAUGCUGUCAGCUGGUACCAACAGCUCCCAGGCAUGGCCCCCAAAACCCUGAUUUAUAAUGUCAAUAAACGGCCCUCAGGGAUCCCUGACCGCUUCUCUGGGUCCAAGUCUGGGAACACGGCCUCCCUGACCAUCUCUGGGCUCCAGGCUGAGGACGAGGCUGAUUAUUACUGUAGCUCAGGUAGCAGUGAUGAAGCAUCAUUUCUGUAUGGGUCUGGGCAGGUGUUCCUGGAUGAGAUGAGCAUUUGA